rnacentral:lncRNA from 1 species
CAGGUAUUGGUUUCAUACAAUGUAUCAUAAUAAUUUAGUUCAUUGCAUCAUAAUAAUGCUUUGUGCAGUGACUAUAAAGGAGGACUCUGUUAGGCAGUGUCAUUCGUGUAAUUGUUAAUAUCUCACUUUCUUGGAACAUCCUAACUUCAACCUCUGAAGGAAAGGGAUUGGCACUCAAAGGACUCAAAAAGCCCUGACUUUGCUUCCCAUCCUGGGGAAGUCAGAGCAAAUCACAGACCAACUGAAAGAAGGAGUUUCCAUUAACACUGACAUAGGAAUCUUUACAAAAAUCUUCCAAUCAUAUGAGGAUUGCUUUUGCCUAGACAUAAGGGCUACAAAAUGCCUACACCUGGCCAAAGGGUCUAAAUUGCUCCAGCAGCCAAGGGGGAAAUCAGCCUGACCCAUUUCUACCAAAUAUUCUUAUUCUCAGCAAAUCUACAACUGAUGAGUGGGACAUCUAUGGCUUUAAGGAGAGUCUGAUGUGUGAAUUGUAGCUUGAAUUUGUAUUAACAUUCUCAUCUGCCAGCCACUUCCUCAGCUGCCGGAGGAUCUUUGCACCAUCUUUUCCACCCUCAGUUAUAUGGCCACAAGUGUGAAAAUUGCAGUGCAUGCAUGCAGAGAAUAAAGACGACAUUCUGAGCCUCCCUUACAGUGAGGUAUUGUCCUGUGACUAAGCUCUAGCUAACAGGAUUUGCAUGGAAGUACUGCAUUCAACUUCUGGAUUGCACACUUCAAGGGACAGGGAGAGUUCUCCCUGUUGUUUCUGCCUUGCUGGCUGAAACGCAUCCAUGGUGGUGAGACACCUGGGACUCCACAAUUAAGGGCAGUACCUCGUGGAGUGUGAGAAGCAAUACACAAGAAGCCUGGGACUCUGAACACUUUGUGGAACAAAGCCACUACAGCAGCUCAGACUUUUUCAAGAAGAAAUAAACUUCCAUUUUUAAAGUCUGGGGUCUUUGCCAGUGUUGUUUUAGGCCUCUGUGACAGUUUCCUAAUUAAUAAAUGAACUUCUAUAAUAAACAAUUGCAAUGCAGUAGCACCACAGAGAAGCAAUCACCUUCCCAUAAUUCCCAAUAUCACCACCAGUCCCUCCAACUCAAAAUAGAGUGGGUUCCUGGGUAGAGGCCAGCCCUGGCUCUUGGUCAUUGGUGCUCCCAGGGACAGCAACAUAGAGGGUGCUGGUAUGGUUAUUGCAGACAAUUUACUGCCUCUCACUACCAGACAUAUGAGGGUUUUUUUUUUUAAUAAAAU